rnacentral:rRNA from 1 species
GGACGGGUGAGUAACGCGUGAGUAACCUACCCCAGAGAGGGGGAUAACCCUCGAAAGGGGUGCUAAACCCCCAUAUACUUACCGAGCGUAAUAGCUCGGUAAGGAAAGAGUAUAAGGAGGCAACUCCUUAUGCUGCUCUGGGAUGGCCUGCGGCCUAUCAGCUAGUUGGUGGGGUAACGGCCCACCAAGGCUAAGCGGGUAGCCGGCCUGAGAGGGUGGUCGGCCACACUGGGACUGAGACACGCCCAGACUCCUACGGGAGGCAGCAGCCGGGAAUCUUCCGCAAUGGGGGAACCCUGACGGAGCGACGCCGCGUGAGGGAAGAAGCCCUUCGGGGUGUAACCUCUUUUCUCGGGGAAGAAAGCUGACGGUACCCGAGGAAAAAGCCCCGCUAACUACGUGCCAGCAGCCGCGGUAAGACGUAGGGGGCGAGCGUUGUCGGAUUUACUGGGCGUAAAGGGCGUGUAGGCGGCUUAGCAAGUCAGAUGUGAAGCCCUGAGCUCAACUCAGGGAGGUCAUCUGAUACUGCUAAGCUAGAGGCAGGAGAGGAGGGCGGAACUUCCGGUGUAGCGGUGAAAUGCGUAGAUUCGGAAGGAACGCCGGUGGCGAAGGCGGCUCUCUGGACUGUCCCUGACGUGAGGCGCGAAAGCUAGGGGAGCGAAAGGGAUUAGAUACCCCUGUAGUC